AUGUUUUUCAGGGAUAUGCCUUUCAUAUUUAGGUUGAGGUCACCUCCUAGAAUUGCUUCCCCAGAGAAGGAGAGGAAUUUGUUUAGUGUCUUCUGGAAGAAUCCUAGUUGUUUUGAGUUUGGGGCAUAUAUGGAGCCGAUUGUCAGUUUAAUUUUGCCAUCUAAUGUCCCUUUAGCGAAAAUGAAUCUGCCUCUUUUGUCCUGUUGUGGCGUUGAAGUUCAGGUCUCUACUGAGUAUUAUAGCUUACUCUGCAGGCCUUCCCUGAGUCAGGUGCAACCCAUUGUUGACUGAAGCGAGGGUCCUUCAGGAGUUUGCUCCUUUUGGGUGGGUUGUGUAUUUCUUGUAGGAAGGUGAUGUGUGGUUUCAUGGUAUUUAUGUAUGAAGUGAUGCAUUUUCUUUUGAUGGGGUUUCCCAACCCCGUCACAUUUAAUGUAAUUGCUUUUUACAUUAGCCAUCUUGCUGAUCUAUUAUGUGGGGCGAUUCCCUGCCAGCCCAUCCAGGUUGUCCUGUGUCUCUCACUUCAUGUUGUUUAACGAACCAGUGGGGUUGUGCUGACCUAGAGUGUGGUGGGUGGGGGACUAGUGGGAUUAGAGUUAGAUUUGGGUUAAAGAGUAGGGGGUAGGUUGUAGAGAAUUUCCUAUAUGUAGUCAUAUAGGUGUUUGUUUGGGGUAUUUUGGGCCAUCUGGCAUUUAGCCAGUUGGUCCUAGGUCUCAGCUAGUGUGGAAGGCCAUGUUCAGGGACAGGCCAUCCCCCCGUCAUUUGCGAUAGGGGGUGAUCAGUGAGAUGGUGUGAAGCAUCUUUGUGACGCCAACGUCGGGUAUAGGGUUCAUAAGCAAUGUUGGCAAUGUUAUUAGCAACAUUGUUGGUAUGUUGGGGUGGGGAUGUGGUACGCUCUGGCGCCACCAUUGUGCUGGUUGGGUAUCAGAUUUUAGCCUGUUUGUGGGUUGUGUUGUUUAAGGUUGGAGGAGUUGUUUUUCCUUAGUAUGGGGUAGGGGGAUGCUGAAGGUGUAGGUUAUGGGUUGUUGGGUGAUGGGGAAUGUGGUUUGAG
rnacentral:lncRNA from 1 species